UCCCUGGUGGCUCAGACAGUAAAGCGUCUGCCUGCAGUUCAGGAGACCCAGGUUCGAUCCCUGGGUUGGGGA
rfam:Ovis aries breed Texel chromosome 5, whole genome shotgun sequence.